rnacentral:rRNA from 1 species
ACAUGUGGUUAUACUAGCCUGAUGAUGCCCAAUCUCCUCUGAUCUCAGAAGAUUGACAGGGUCGGGCAUGGUUUGUCCUUGCAUGGGAGAUUGCCUGGUAAUACCAGAUGAUGUAGGUU